UGGUUCAACUUUUAUGGUGUAUACAUGUAUCAAUUGUUUCGAGAAAUCGUGUACGUCCAUUUACUUCUCAGAUUUCUUUGAACAUUAGAAUAUUUUCAAUUAUAGAAUUUAGUGCAGUCGGUUUGCAAGACCAUUCUGGUGCUGUUUUAUCCAGUCAGAUAUUUACCAUGUUUACCUGUUUAUCUCCAACUCAAGAAUCUCUUUGGUUGGUGUGGUGAUAUUUUCUGUUCUUUUCUUUUUUCCUUCCUUUUUUUGUUGUUGUUUCUUUACCUUUUCUUUUAUCUUCUUUUUUCUUUCGAUUUUGUGUUUUUUGUUAGUGUUAAAUCUUCUGUUUUAUGUGUUCAUCAACACCUUGUGAAGAAUCGGAGAGAUUUGGGUCUGUCACAAACUGUUAUUGUUUGUUGAAUUCUUAUUGCGAAACCGGUGUAUCCUAGUGUCAGUGUUGGUGAGUUACUACUAGUAUCUCAUUGACGUUUAGGAUUUUUUAACCUAAGUUAGGAAUCUGAUGUACAGUGGUUGUCGUUUGUUUAUG
rnacentral:lncRNA from 1 species